rnacentral:rRNA from 1 species
UACGAAGGGGGCUAGCGUUGUUCGGAAUUACUGGGCGUAAAGCGCACGCAGGCGGUCUGUUAAAUUAGAAGUGAAAGCCCUGGGCUUAACCCGGGAAUUGCUUUUAAGACUGGCAGACUUGAAUCCGGAAGAGGGCAGUGGAAUUCCCAGUGUAGAGGUGAAAUUCGUAGAUAUUGGGAAGAACACCAGUGGCGAAGGCGACUGCCUGGUCCGGCAUUGACGCUCAUGUGCGAAAGCGUGGGGAG